rnacentral:rRNA from 1 species
UACGGGGGGGGCAAGCGUUGUUCGGAAUUACUGGGCGUAAAGCGUGCGCAGGCGGUUUGCUAAGACAGGUGUGAAAUCCCCGGGCUUAACCUGGGAACUGCGCUUGUUACUGGCAGGCUUGAGUGUGGCAGAGGGGGGUGGAAUUCCACGUGUAGCAGGUGAAAUGCGUAGAGAUGUGGAGGAACACCGAUGGCGAAGGCAGCCCCCUGGGCUAACACUGACGCUCAUGCACGAAGCGUGGGGAGCAAACAGG